rnacentral:rRNA from 1 species
GACGAACGCUGGCGGCGUGCCUAAUACAUGCAAGUAGAACGCUGAAGGAGGAGCUUGCUUCUCUGGAUGAGUUGCGAACGGGUGAGUAACGCGUAGGUAACCUGCCUGGUAGCGGGGGAUAACUAUUGGAAACGAUAGCUAAUACCGCAUAAUAGCAGUUGUUGCAUGACAACUGUUUGAAAGGUGCAAUUGCACCACUACCAGAUGGACCUGCGUUGUAUUAGCUAGUUGGUGGGGUAACGGCUCACCAAGGCGACGAUACAUAGCCGACCUGAGAGGGUGAUCGGCCACACUGGGACUGAGACACGGCCCAGACUCCUACGGGAGGCAGCAGUAGGGAAUCUUCGGCAAGGGGCGGAAGUCUGACCGAGCAACGCCGCGUGAGUGAAGAAGGUUUUCGGAUCGUAAAGCUCUGUUUUAAGAGAAGAACGAGUGUGAGAGGGGAAAGUUCAACCUGGAACGGUAUUUUACAAGAAAGGGACGGCAAACUAGUG